rnacentral:tRNA from 8 species
GCGCCCGUAGCUCAGCUGGAUAGAGCAACGGCCUUCUAAGCCGUGGGUCGCAGGUUCGAGUCCUGCCGGGCGCGCCA